AAGAUACUUCAAUAAAGCAGGUGUCGGUCCAGAAACCAAAGAGCUGGUAGAAGGGUAAAAAAAUAUUUUACAAACUUGUUUACACGCAUAGAAAAUUCACAGAGACCAACUCGAUGCUCCACACCUUCGUAAAGUUCGCAACGGAUUUCCAGUAAGCAGCAGUUUUCGCAAAGUUGUCAUCUUUCCCAGACAAUGAAAAAAAAGAUGUUCCAUUAUUUAAAUACCAUUUCAAUGGUAAAGAACCAACAAGUUUUAAUUCAUUUCAGUAACUGAUAAACAAGUAAAAGAAAACAAAAGAAACCAAACAUAAUAAAAGAAUACAGAUGAACAGAAAAGUCAGGGUAAUAUUUUAAAUCAUUUAGCAGCAUAAAUAAACAUUAAACAUAUGCAGAGAAGUAAAGUAUUCAAGCGUGAUAGAAUUGAAGGAAAAGGGUUAAGGGAAAAGCUCUAUAUGUUACAUUCCUUCAUUUAAUGAGAAGACACACUUAACUUUUAGAGACAGAGUAAUAGGCAAACAUCUUGUUGAUAAAAUGGACUAUUUGUGCCUAACUUCAUUCCAAAGGCACCUCGUGGAGGGAGAAUUGCUCAAGUCAUAUAUGAAGCAUUUUUACCUAAUACCCAACCGAUGUAGGACUUAACACACCCCCUCACGUCUAGGAAUGGACAUCUAGAGAGCAAAGUUUGCUAGACUAGACAUCUACAGGUUGCCCAAUAUCGAGAUUGGGAUUUGCUCUAAUUCCAUGUUGAUAAAAUAGAUUGGGCUUAACUCCAUCCCAAAAGGCACCAUGUGAGGGAAGAAUUGCCCAAAUCAUAUGUGAAGCAUUCUUUUCCCAAUACCAGCUGCUGUGAGACUUAACACACCAUCCCACACCCAGGACUAGAGAAAUUUGUAGGACUGGACAUCUGCAAGUAGCCAAACAUUUAGACUACGGUCAGCUCUGAUACCAUUUUGAUAAAAUGGUUUUGACCUAACUCCACCUAAAAGGAACCUUAUAAGGGGAGAAUUGCCCAAGUCAUACAUUAAAUAAUUUUUGCCCAAUGCCCAACUGAUAUGAGAUUUAACACAUCUAAUGUAUCAAAUUGUGCACUAUAGGAUUCUAUGUUUACUUGGCCAUAAUAGAAAUUAACCCAGUGAUUAUAUGUUGGCCCCAUGUUACUCAGACUUGGGUACAAGUGUCGAAAAUGGGUACAUACUUGUGUAUUAAACUUCUGAACUUUAUAAAUAGAAAAAGAAAAUAUGGGGAUAUAGAUCUAAAUUUAGACAAGGGUGCUCGGAUACAUUAUAUAGGCCAAAAGGGUUGAAGUAAUGUAUCCAAAAGAGGCCAACCACAUUUUUUAACUUGUUUUAUACAUAUCCUUUAGUUUAUAGUUGCAUUCUCUUUUUAAUUUCUUUUUUUUUUUUU
rnacentral:misc_RNA from 1 species